rfam:Pan troglodytes isolate Yerkes chimp pedigree #C0471 (Clint) chromosome 5, whole genome shotgun sequence.
GCUGGGUGUGUUGGCAUGCACCUGUAGUCCCAGCUACUCAGGAGGCUGAGGCAGGAGAAUCGCUUGAACCUGGGAGGCAGAGGUUGCAGUGAGCCGAGAUCGCGCCACUGCACUCCAGCCUGGGUGACAGAGCGAGACUCUGUCUCAA